UGGGGGAUAUUGCACAAUGGGCGAAAGCCUGAUGCAGCGACGCCGCGUGGGGGAUGAAGGCCUUCGGGUUGUAAACUUCUUUUGCUCUGAACAAGGCAUGCUAAUGGGUGUGUUGAGUGUAGGGGUUGAUUAGCGCCGGCUAACUACGUGCCAGCAGCCGCGGUAAUACGUAGGGCGCGAGCGUUGUCCGGAAUUAUUGGGCGUAAAGGGCUUGUAGGUGGCUGGUUGCGUCUGUCGUGAAAGCUCAUGGCUUAACUGUGGGAUUGCGGUGGGUACGGGCUGGCUUGAGUGCAGUAGGGGAGGCUGGAAUUCCUGGUGUAGCGGUGGAAUGCGCAGAUAUCAGGAGGAAUACCGGUGGCGAAGGCGGGGCUCUGGGCUGUUACUGACACUGAGGAGCGUAAGCAUGGGGAGCGAACAGG
rnacentral:rRNA from 1 species